CACGUAGGGGGCAAGCGUUGUCCGGAUUUAUUGGGCGUAAAGAGCUCGUAGGCGGUUCGGUAAGUCGGGUGUGAAAACUCUGGGCUCAACUCAGAGACGCCACCCGAUACUGCCGUGACUGGAGUCUGGUAGGGGAGUGUGGAAUUCCCGGUGUAGCGGUGAAAUGCGCAGAUAUCAGGAGGAACACCGGUGGCGAAGGCGGGUCUCUGGGCCGAUACUGACGCUGAGGAGCGAAAGCGUGGGGAGCGAACAGG
rnacentral:rRNA from 1 species